CCCAAAAAAUAACGUCUCUAGUUCGGAUUGUAGUCUGCAACUCGACUACAUGAAGCUGGAAUCGCUAGUAAUCGCGGAAUCAGAAUGCCGCGGUGAAUACGUUCCCGGGUCUUGUACACACCGCCCGUCACACCAUGGGAGUUGGUAACGCCCGAAGUCAGUGACCCAACCGUAAGGAGGGAGCUGCCGAAGGCGGGACUGAUAACUGGGGUGAAGUCGUAACAAGGUAGCCGUAUCGGAAGGUGCGGCUGGAUCACCUCCUUUAUG
rnacentral:rRNA from 1 species